CUUGCCCCCUCCCCGAAGGACCAGUGCUGCUUGUGGCCAUGGUUUAAAUAGAGGUGCAGACAGUAAAUGGACCACAUUGUCUUCAGGGGGCUGUGUUGUGCCCCAAAAAGUGAACCAGUGGGUCCCACGGCU